rnacentral:tRNA from 1 species
GCUGGAAUAGCUCAGUUGGCUAGAGUAUUUAGAUGUUAACCACAAGGUCGGAGGUUCAAGCCCUCCUUCUAGCG